rnacentral:tRNA from 1 species
GGGGAUUUAGCUCAGAGGUGCUGCCGUUUGCCUUGCAAGCAAAAGGUCCUGAGUUCAAUCCCCAGCACCCCCC